ACGGGUGCGUAACGCGUGGGGAUCUGCCCUUUGCUUCGGAAUAACAGUUAGAAAUGACUGCUAAUACCGGAUGAUGUCGCAAGACCAAAGAUUUAUCGGCAAAGGAUGAACCCGCGUAGGAUUAGCUAGUUGGUGGGGUAAAGGCCUACCAAGGCGACGAUCCUUAGCUGGUCUGAGAGGAUGAUCAGCCACACUGGGACUGAGACACGGCCCAGACUCCUACGGGAGGCAGCAGUGGGGAAUAUUGGACAAUGGGCGAAAGCCUGAUCCAGCAAUGCCGCGUGAGUGAUGAAGGCCUUAGGGUUGUAAAGCUCUUUUACCCGAGAUGAUAAUGACAGUAUCGGGAGAAUAAGCUCCGGCUAACUCCGUG
rnacentral:rRNA from 1 species